UGACUGCGAUGAUGUGAGAGGUUGCUGAUACACCCGGCCGCUUUGCCAUGGCGAGUGUAAUCAGGGGAUUUUCACUGAGAAUGUCUAUUUUGAAAAUAGGCGAAAA
rfam:Bacillus sp. FJAT-18017 genome.